rnacentral:hammerhead_ribozyme from 1 species
AUCCAGCUGACGAGUCCUAAAUAGGACGAAACGCGAGUCAAACUGGAU